ensembl:lncRNA
UUUCUGUACUAACUUUUCCCCUACUAAUUAUUUCCCAUACUAACUUCACUUUUACUUGAUGUUUGUCUUUAUGUUUGUCUUUACAAAAGUUUGUCUUUCCCAUAUUAUCGUGUCAAGUCCAUCUUAUCAUUUCCGGGACAGUCUCCAUUGCUUUCUAGCCACUGACGGCUUCUUCUCUGCUGGCCAGUUCACAUCUGCCACUUUCACACAUUCAGGUGGUCCUCCAAUUACUUCCAGAUACUGUGGUAAAUCUGAGAUGACCUUUUGUUCACUGGCAGCAGUUCACAAUGCACCACUGUCCAGUGUGGUGAGCCUCGAUGACAUCUGGACGAAGUGGAGCUGAGGUAUCUGGGUUGGCGACAUCUGGACGAAGUGGAGCUGAGGUAUCUGGGUCGAUGACAUCUGGACAAAGUGGAGCUGAGGUAUCUGGAUGAAGCGGAGCUGAGGUAUCUGGGUCGAUGACAUCUGGACGAAGCGGAGCUGAGUUAUCUGGGUCGAUGACAUCUGGACAAAGUGGAGCUGAGGUAUCUGGGUCGGCGACAUCUGGACAAAGCGGAGCUGAGAUAUCUGGGUCGGCGACAUCUGGACAAAGUGGAGCUGAGAGACCAUGGCCAUUAGCCGGGGCUGUGAUUUCUUGGAGUCUAUAACAUGGGCAAUCCCACAUGCUAUGCGCUGCUUGGCAGAGACAACUGUCUCUGUAUUUGAGGAUGCCAGGCACGAUACACUUUCCUUUUAUGGUGACCAGAGGUACCCCAGAAAUCCUCUGUGCCUUACUUUCCACCUCUGCCUCACUGACAUAAUACAACUGUAUUUGAGUGCCAGAGUCCCUUACCUCCCGAUAGAAAUACAUUGUGUCCGUUAUGUCUUUUCAGUGGUGGACCAAGAGGUCAGCUGACCCGCCCACUCCAACACUGUUUCUCCUGCUCUCAACAUCUGUGUUAUUUCUGUCUGACCCACCAUUGCUUUCACUCAUGUCUUGUUCCACUUUCUGUGACAACAUUCAUUCUUUUUUUUUUCAACUCUCUAAAACCUUUCACUAAAUCCUGUGUUUUUUUCCAAGGUAGGUUGCUCGGUGAUCCAGGUCAGCAUCCCUGCGCGGUCAAAUCAAAUUUAUUUAUCAGCUGAUAUCUCAAAGUGCUGUACAGAAACCCAGCCUAAAACCCCAAACAGCAAGCAAUGCAGGUGUAGAAGCACGGUGGCUAGGAAAAACUCCCUAGAAAGGCCAAAACCUAGGAAGAAACCUAGAGAGGAACCAGGCUAUGUGGGGUGGCCAGUCCUCUUCUGGCUGUGCCGGGUGGAGAUUAUAACAGAACAUGGCCAAGAUGUUCAAAUGUUCAUAGAUGACCAGCAGGGUCGUAUAAUAAUAAGGCAGAACAGUUGAAACUGGAGCAGCAGCACGGUCAGGUGGACUGGGGACAGCAAGG